rnacentral:rRNA from 1 species
AUUGAACGCUAGCGGCAGGCCUAACACAUGCAAGUCGAGCGAGCGGCGGACGGGUGAGGUAUGUCUGGGAACCUGCCUGAUGGAGGGGGAUAACUACUGGAAACGGUAGCUAAUACCGCAUACCAUGAGAUUUGCCCAGAUGGGGUUAGCUAGUAGGUGGGGUAACGGCCCACCUAGGCGACGAUCCCUAGCUGGUCUGAGAGGAUGACCAGCCACACUGGAACUGAGACACGGUCCAGACUCCUACGGGAGGCAGCAGUGGGGAAUAUUGCACAAUGGGCGCAAGCCUGAUGCAGCCAUGCCGCGUGUGUGAAGAAGGCCUUCGGGUGGUAAAGCACUUUCAGCGGGGAGGCGUUACCCGCAGAAGAAGCACCGGCUAACUCCGUGCCAGCAGCCGCGGUAAUUC